GACGAACGCUGGCGGCGUGCUUAACACAUGCGAGUCGAACGGAAAGGCCCUGCUUGUGUGGGGUUCUCGAUUGGCGAACGGGUGAGUAACACGUGAGUAACCUGCCCUUGACUUUGGUAUAGCUUCAGGAAACUGGGGCUAAUACCGGAUAGGAGCUCCUGCUGCAUGGUGGGGGUGGGAAAGUUUCGGCGGUUGGGGAUGGACUCGCGGCUUAUCAGCUUGUUGGUGGGGUAGUGGCUUACCAAGGCUUUGACGGGUAGCCGGCCUGAGAGGGUGACCGGCCACAUGGGGACUGAGAUACGGCCCAGACUCCUACGGGAGGCAGCAGUGGGGAAUAUUGUACAAUGGGCCGAAGCCUGAUGCAGCAGCGCCGCGUGCGGGAUGACGGCCUUCGGGUUGUAAACCGCUUUCGCCUGUGACGAAGCGUGAGUGACGGUAAUGGGUAAAGAAGCACCGGCUAACUACGUG
rnacentral:rRNA from 1 species